GACGAACGCUGGCGGCGUGGAUUAGGCAUGCAAGUCGAACGGUAGGAUACCUUCGGGUAUCUGAGAGUGGCGAACGGGUGAGUAACACGUAGGUGAUCUACCCUCAAGAUUGGGACAACCCAGGGAAACUUGGGCUAAUACCGGAUGAAAGCAGCAGUGAUGUUGUUUGAAAGGUGGCGUAAGCUGCCGUUUGGGGAUGAGCCUGCGCUCUAUUAGUUAGUUGGCGGGGUAAAGGCCCACCAAGGCGAUGAUAGAUAGGCGGCCUUAACGGGUGGUCGCCCACACUGGGAUUGAGAUACGGCCCAGACUCCUACGGGAGGCAGCAGUGGGGAAUUUUGGACAAUGGGCGCAAGCCUGAUAGUGCGACGCCGCGUGAACGAAGAAGCCCUUCGGGGUGUAAAGUUCUUUUAUAUGUGAGCAGUGCUUUCUAUGUGAACAGCAUGGGGAGAGAGAUAUUAGCAUAUGAAUAAGCAACGGCUAACUCCGUG
rnacentral:rRNA from 1 species